rnacentral:tmRNA from 1 species
GGGGGCGAUCGGUUUCGACGUGGGGUUUGAAGGUUUAUCUGCGUGCUGGCGGCUCCCGGUCCGCCUACCAAACGGGACGUCAUAAUUGCGAACGACAACGCACUCGCGCUCGCCGCUUAAUAACGGCUAACGCUGCCAACGAGAGAGGCCGUCCGCGUAUCUCGAAGGCAUCAACCACGCGGGCUGGACUGUGCGAGGGUGCCUCGGAUAGCGCAGUCGAGAUUAGCCGAGGAUAGGUUGCGGCCGAAUCUGCAAACCCCGCCGCUUGGGUUAAAGCGGCUACGCACGUGAACGAAGAUAGACUGGAGGCCUCGCGGACCCGGGUUCAAUUCCCGGCGCCUCCACCU